rnacentral:rRNA from 1 species
UACGGAGGGUGCAAGCGUUAUCCGGAUUUACUGGGUUUAAAGGGUGCGUAGGUGGGUAGGAAAGUCAGUGGUGAAAUCUUCGGGCUUAACCCGGAAACUGCCAUUGAUACUAUUUAUCUUGAAUACUUUGGAGGUAAGCGGAAUAUGUCAUGUAGCGGUGAAAUGCCUAGAUAUGACAUAGAACACCAAUUGCGAAGGCAGCUUACUACACAGUUAUUGACACUGAGGCACGAAAGCGUGGGGAUCAAACAGG